CGAGUGCCCUGUUCCUGUAAUAAGCGGAUAGAAGAUGGUUAGAGUGCUGCAUAUCUGCUGAGCCAUACUCUUCCCUCAGCACAUCUACAGUGUCAUGUUAGCUCAUGCCUCAAAUUUGCACGCAGCCCUGAACUCUCCGAUCAUGUGCGCCGGUGUUAGGCUCAUUCUCUGACUCAUGUCUGCAAUGAACUAACUGGCUUUCCAGGCAGAGGAAAUUCAGGAAUUCAGGAGCAGAAAGUUCUUUUUUCCAUUUUGGCAUCUACUUUGAAACGGCAGCUUAACAUGAACUCAUCAAAAUGCAGGCCUUGUGAAGACAACUUUUCUGAGUAGGAUCUGUAUACGGAGCUCAGCAAGACAAAGCGUUCCAAAUUGGAGUAUGGCCAGGACACCAAAGUCAUUGC
rnacentral:lncRNA from 1 species